UCAGCUUGUUGGUGAGGUAAUGGCUCACCAAGGCGUCGACGGGUAGCCGGCCUGAGAGGGUGACCGGCCACACUGGGACUGAGACACGGCCCAGACUCCUACGGGAGGCAGCAGUGGGGAAUAUUGCACAAUGGGCGGAAGCCUGAUGCAGCAACGCCGCGUGAGGGAUGACGGCCUUCGGGUUGUAAACCUCUUUUAGCAAGGAAGAAGCGAAAGUGACGGUACUUGCAGAAAAAGCGCCGGCUAACUACGUGCCAGCAGCCGCGGUAAUACGUAGGGCGCAAGCGUUAUCCGGAAUUAUUGGGCGUAAAGAGCUCGUAGGCGGUUUGUCGCGUCUGCUGUGAAAUCCCGAGGCUCAACCUCGGGCCUGCAGUGGGUACGGGCAGACUAGAGUGCGGUAGGGGAGAUUGGAAUUCCUGGUGUAGCGGUGGAAUGCGCAGAUAUCAGGAGGAACACCGAUGGCGAAGGCAGAUCUCUGGGCCGUAACUGACGCUGAGGAGCGAAAGGGUGGGGAGCAAACAGGCUUAGAUACCCUGGUAGUCCACCCCGUAAACGUUGGGAACUAGUUGUGGGGUCCAUUCCACGGAUUCCG
rnacentral:rRNA from 1 species